UCCGUCCCCCGUGUAUCUCUCUCUCCUCCCUCACGGCUUUCUCUCGCUCUCUCCCUCUCGAAUUGUAUGGACAAGCUAGGAACCUCCCAUUUCUUCACGGAUCGAAGGUUCUAAGGGAAUUUCAAGCUCACAGUGAGCUUAAGGAGAUCCUCACGAGCUUCGGGGUACUUCGUUGGUAGAAUUUAGACGUCGGAGGACUGAGAACGGAGUUUUUCAAAUUUGGCCGGAUUAUCGAGCUUUCUCAGGUGACACCUAUCCCGAGGACGAGCGUAUCCAGGGACGUCACGGGGGCUACGACCCAUCGAC